rnacentral:rRNA from 1 species
GGGAACUCUGACACAGGUGCUGCAUGGCUGUCGUCAGCUCGGUGUCGUGAGAUGUUGGGUUAAGUCCGUAACGAGCGCAACCCUUGUCCUUAGUUACCAGCACGUUAUGGUGGGCACUCUAAGGAGACUGCCGGUGACAAACCGGAGGAAGGUGGGGAUGACGUCAAGUCAUCAUGGCCCUUACGGCCUGGGCUACACACGUGCUACAAUGGUCGGUACAAAGGGUUGCCAAGCCGCGAGGUGGAGCUAAUCCCAUAAAACCGAUCGUAGUCCGGAUCGCAGUCUGCAACUCGACUGCGUGAAGUCGGAAUCGCUAGUAAUCGUGAAAUCAGAAUGUCACGGUGAAUACGUUCCCGGGCCUU